rnacentral:rRNA from 1 species
CCUGGUUGAUCCUGCCAGUAACAUAUGCUUGUCUCAAAGAUUAAGCCAUGCAGGUCUAAGUGCACACGGAAGGUACAGUGAAACUGCGAAUGGCUCAUUAAAUCAGUUAUGGUUCCUUUGAUCGCUCCACACGUUACUCGGAUAACUGUGGUAAUUCCAGAGCUAAUACAUGCAAACGCGAGCGCUGACCGGUCCUCUCUCGGGGGGGCCGGGAUGCGUGCAUUUAUCAGACCCAAAACCACCCGGGGGGACCCGCGGGUUUCCCCCGGCCCUUUUGGUGACUCUAGAUAACCCGGGUCGAUCGCGCGCCCACCGCGGCGGCGACGUCUCAUUCGAAUGUCUGCCCUAUCAGCUGUCGAUGGUAGCAUAGGGGGCUACCAUGGUGACCACGGGUAACGGGGAAUCAGGGUUCGAUUCCGGAGAGGGAGCCUGAGAAAUGGCUACCACAUCCAAGGAAGGCAGCAGGCGCGCAAAUUACCCAUUACCGACACGGUGAGGUAGUGACGAAAAAUAACGAUGCAGGUCUCUUUCGAGGCCCUGUAAUCGGAAUGAACGUAUCCUAAACACAUGGGUGAGGACCCAUUGGAGGGCAAGUCUGGUGCCAGCAGCCGUUCUAAGGAAGGCAGCAGGCGCGCAAAUUACCCAAUCCCGACACGGGGAGGUAGUGACAAUAAAUAACAAUACAGGCGCUCGAUAAGAGUCUUGUAAUUGGAAUGAGUACAAUUUAAACCCCUUAACGAGUAACAAUUGGAGGGCAAGUCUGGUGCCAGCAGCCGCGGUAAUUCCAGCUCCAAUAGCGUAUAUUAAAUUUGCUGCAUUAAAAAGCUCGUAGUUGGACUUCGGGAGUGGGCUGGCGGUCCGCCGCGAGGCGAGCUACCGCCUGUCCCAGACCCUGCCUCCCGGCGCCCCCCGGAUGCCCUUGGUUGGGUGUCCGGUCCUCAGGGGUCCGGAGCGUUUACUUUGAAAAAAUCAGAGUGUUCAAAGCGGGCACCAAACUCGCCUGAAUGCCUGAGCUAGGAAUAAUGGAAUAGGACUCCGGUUCUAUUUUGUGGGUUUUCCUGACCAGGGCCAUGAUUAAGAGGGACGGCCGGGGGCAUUCGUAUUGCGCCGCUAGAGGUGAAAUUCUUGGACCGGCGCAAGACGGACGAAAGCGAAAGCAUUUGCCAAGAAUGUUUUCAUUAAUCAAGAACGAAAGUCGGAGGUUCGAAGACGAUCAGAUACCGUCGUUAGUUCCGACCGUAAACUAGCCCCGACCCGCGAUCCGGCGGCGUUAUUCCCAUGACCCCGCCGGGCAGCGUGCGGGGAAACCAGAGUCUUUGGGUUCCGGGGGGAGUAUGGUUGCAAGGCUGAAACUUAAGGAAUUGACGGAAGGGGCACCACCAGGAGUGGAGCCUGCGGCUUAAUUUGACUCAACACGGGGAACCUCACCCGGCCCGGACACGGAAAGGAUUGACAGACUGAUGGCUCUUUCUCGAUUCUGUGGGUGGUGGUGCAUGGCCGUUCUUAGUUGGUGGAGUGAUUUGUCUGGUUAAUUCCGAUAACGAACGAGAUUCCUUCGUGCUAAAUAGUUACGCGGCCCCCCGCGGUCGCGGUUAACUUCUUAGAGGGACCAGUGGCGUAUAGCCACGCGAGAUGGAGCAAUAACAGGUCUGUGAUGCCCUUAGAUGUCCGGGGCUGCACGCGCGCCAACAAUGGCCGGGCCAGCGUGUGCCUACCCUACGCCGAGAGGCGCGGGUAAUCCGCUUAAACCCGUUCGUGACGGGGAUUGGGGAUUGCAAUUAUUCCCCAUGAACGAGGAAUUCCCAGUAAGUGCGGGGUCAUCAGCUCGCGCUGAUUAAGUCCCUGCCCUUUGUACACACCGCCCGUCGCUACUACCGAUUGGAUGGUUAUGUGAGGUCCUCGGAUCGGCCACGCCGGGGCUCCUUCGCGGGGCCUUGGUGCUGUGCUGAAAAGUCGAUCGAACUUGAUCAUCUAGAGGAAGUAAAAGUCGUAACAAGGUUUCCGUAGGUGAACCUGCGGAAG